UCCGGCUUCUUCCGGGUCGCGGCAGCGCGGUUGCCAUGGAAACCGAGGCCAUGGCGGCGCCCGGGCUGCUGGGCGGCCUCAUAGCCCAGCAGGAGGAGCGCGCCAGCUCCGGAGAGUCGUCUGUCACCCCCAGGACACCAGUGCCCACUGUGUCCCCCGUGUCCCCCGAGCAGCCCGUGUCGCCGGUGCAGGUUGCGGAGCCUUCGGGCAAGAAUCUGUGGGAGCAGAUCUGCGAGGAGUAUGAAGCUGAGCUGCCUCCCUUUCCAGGAUACAAAGUCCAACCAGACGCUGCGACUGCUGUUUCACCACUGGAAGAAAUAGUUUUCCAUCGCAUCAAAACAGAGCACAUGUAUUCAGUUCCUCACAUGACCACGGACUCACCUACAUCUUGCACGCAAGUGAAAUUGGAAACAGUCGAUCCGAAAACAUGUUCCCCCAGAGACUUUCUGGAAACGUUCAUCUUUCCAGUUCUGCUUCCCGGCAUGGUCAGCCUGCUUCACCAGGCGGACAAAGAGAAAUGUUUUGAGAGGAAAAGAACCAAAUUCAUUGCCUGUGAUUUUCUGACUGAGUGGUUAUACAAUCAAAAUCCAAAGAGGACAGGGGCGCCCUUCACCGAAUUCUUCUCUAUUCCGUUUGUGAAGCAGUGGCUGAAGCAACACCCGCGGCCACCAGUCCCGCUGUCCCUCCUGCUGACAGAAGUGGAAGCAGUUCUGCGCAUUCAGGCCUUCUGGAGAGCUUAUCAGGUUCGCUGUGACUCUGAGAUUCAAGAACUGCGUCAGUGGCAGAAGAAACUGCGCGAGGAGCAGCACAUUCGCCAGAGAGUCAAAAUGUUCUGGGCCAGACAAGAGCAGAAAGAGAGAAAAACUGCGGUGCAGAGAGGUAAUCUACUCAAAGCCACCCGUCCAGGAAGUGGCGGAAGCAGGAUCUGAACCCAGACGUCUGCCUCGGGGGCCCAAAUUCCUACACUCGUGGUGUCGGAUGUAAGAGUGGGGGCACGAGCACUGUCCCUCACCAUCUACACAUGGGCUGCAACCACAGACACCUGCAGGGAGCCAGGAUCCGGAGAGCAGCUCCCAUCCUGCCUUGGCCCUGAGGCCGCCGACUAAGAAGGAGCCCGGUGCUACAGGGACCGUCACCUUUGCCUAUAGAUGAGAGAAGGCGGGCUCGGAACAGAAGGCGUCCGGCAAGCAAUGCGCGUUACAUGAGCAUUUCAGCAUCCCACUGAAGCAAAUUAGGGGUGAGCAUGCACCCCAAACAAUGGCAAUCGGGCCCACCGUCUAGCCACUAUUCGUGGCCCUGCCACGUCGGCCACUGGAGUGCCACUGCAGCUACUUAUGCCUUGUCUACACACCACCUGUGCAGCUAUUAACUUAACUGACUCACCAAGUCCUUGAAAUCAACUCACUUAAAAGAGAACUCCACACAUUGCAAUACUUCUCUCUUGAAAUGUUAAAAUUGCUUGUUGACGUAACUCCCAUUGCACGCCCAGUGGCAUAUCCCAACAUACCACCCUUUGGAAAAAUAUCGUCCUGACCCAGAACCGCUUGUCACACCGUCCUGUAAGCAUAAUGGGGGUGAAUAUUCAAGAACCAGUAAUGUCUGAGCAAAAUGCCAUCAGCUGCCCCGACACGGUGAAGGGGCCCCCCACAUAUCUCAUCAAUGGCAAACGCAAUUAGAAGACUUCUCAGUGAGUAAACAGGACACACCCCGUGCAGCCUCUCUCGGUCACUCAGCAGCCAACCGCACCCCCCGUCGGGCUGGGGGGAUGAGGGGUAGGGAUGUGUUCCUGGGGUCUUGAUCACCAGCCCUCUCUCCACAUGCCCCCUAGGCCAGUGGUUCUCAACCAGGGGCAGUGUUGACCCCACAGGACAUUUGGCCACGUCUAGGGACAUUUUUGGUUGUCACAACUGGGGAGGGGAGUGCAACUGGCACGUAGUGGGUAGAGGCGAGGGACACUGUUAAACAUCCUCCAAUGCAGAGGAUGCCCUCCUCCCCCAGCAACAAAGAAUUAUCUGGCCCAAAUGUCAAUAGUUCUGAGGUUGAGAAAGCCUGGUUUCUACACUCGAGGUCAGAGUUGAUGGGAAAGAUGUCGGGAAACCAGCCAGGCUCUCACCCCACGUCCUCUCCUUGCAGGAACUUGGCCUUCGUUAGCUGCCUCCAUUCACUCUCCUGAGAUUUCCUCUCUCUACGGGAGACCGGCCUGCAAACUGGGACUCGGUUUCCCCAGCUCCUCCUCCUUCCCGACCAGCCUUCCAACCACAACAGGAAACCAAUGGGGAUGAUGGAAAAAACCAAGAUGGCGACCACGCUUCUGAACUUCCAGGUCUGCAGCUCCCACUCCUGACAUGCAGGCAGAUGCUCUCACUGCCAUCUCACAGCGGAGGGUGCUGAGGGCAGCAGCAACAGCGUCACCUGGGAACUUGUUAGAAGGCGCACUAUCGGGGAGCGGGCCCAGCCCCCCAUCUCCACAAGCCCCAAGGGUGUGCAGAUGCUGGGGCACCCUGAAGACAUGUGCAGCGGGGGCGCCCACUGUCAGGUACUUCUACGUGGGAACCUCACAGUGAGGGUGAUUUUCCCAAGAGGAACCCAGGCCAGAGGAAUGGAGGCCAAGCUGGGUACCCUGAAACCGAGUGUCUCUGACGAGGACUCAGAGCCAGGACACGAGCCAUUCUCGGGGAACCAGCAUCCCACCUUCCUACCCACCCGUGGGAAAGGAGAUACAGGUUGUACAGUCCCCCUCGGGAGCAUACCAUCUGACCAGCCUUGCCUUGGUCACCAUCACUGAGGCUCCAAGGAGGCCACUCGUUUUCCACCCCAGGGGCCCCUGUCAGAGGCACCGUAAAACCACCUUCUCUAAAGAAGGGGGGGAGGCACUGGAACAUGGAAAGGAAAGAAAAACUGCGCAGAUGGAGAGGGGCUUUCCUACUCCUGGGCAUGUUUACUACUUCGGUUCCCAGAUGAAUACCUGGCACAGAAUUCACACUCCCAUCUGUCUCCUGGAGAGCAGAAGACCUCAGUGGGAGGGAAGCCACCGCGCAAUUCUUAACCUCUCUGCCGCUCAGUCUCUUUGUGAAAUGAGCAUAACGAUACUGGAGUGAAAAGACUCACGAAAAGGACCCAGCAAGGUACCUGGCACACAGGGUGUAGACUAGUGUUAUUAAGAAGAUAAUCGUGAUUCCCAUUGUCCCGCUGGGAAAAUGAAGGUAGAGGUAAGGCAGCUUGGCAGACGUUUACUGGAAUUUACGGGCCAAGCUGCGACUGGCCCCAUUUCUCCCAACUCCUGACCUCAAGGCCCUUCCACGGCACCCCUGGUUUGACCACCCCUGUGUCUGGCGGGGGCCCAGCUACACUCUGUCCCAGCCCACUCCCGUUCCAGUGGCUGGUGCAUUUCCUGCCGGACAGGAUUCAACUGGUAGGAGGUAACUGACAUGAAGCACUUUCCUAGAGCUGCAAUCUCACCCUGUGUUAUCUUUUUUAUGUUACACCAUCUCGCAAUCUUCAUUUCCCAGUGCCGCCCAGACCACCAGCCUGUUUGGGAGCCCUGGAAUUUAAUAACCCUCAGAGGUUAGUAAAUAGGGUUGCCAGAACACAAGCUCUUUGCACAGGAAUAUGCAAAGCAGCUCUGAUCCUGUAAAUAAAAGCAAUCAUUUAAAUGCAAACUGCAUCCUUGGCUGCCCUUUCCGGCUGGCCGGCUGGCUGGGUGAUUCCUCUCAGGCUGUAAUCCGGAGAAGAAAAUGUGACUAACUCAGAACCCCCAGGAAGCUCUCUGUGUAGAAGUGUUUGUGGGGCCGUGGGAUCUGGGUGGGGGCCGCUCAGGGUGGAAAGGACUGCGUCAAAGUGGGGAGAAGAGUUAAAAGCCCGAGCCACUCCUUGAGUGGGCUCCCAGGGCUGGCAAGGUUCAAAGCGUUCCCCGCAGGCUGGACAGGGACCCUCAGAGGCUGCCGGCGCCUGGCCAUCCACAGAGGCAGAAUGAAAGGGAAGUCCUUAUUGAGGUCAGAGGAGCUUUUAAAAAUCAGAUCCCGUGGCUUCCCACUCAAAACUCUCUAAGGGUUCACUGGCCCAAGGAGUAUACAACCUACAAUACUUUCCGUGGCCCAAAAG